GAUUAUUGGGCGUAAGCGCGCGCAGGUGGUUUCUUAAGUCUGAUGUGAAAGCCCACGGCUCAACCGUGGAGGGUCAUUGGAAACUGGGAGACUUGAGUGCAGAAGAGGAAAGUGGAAUUCCAUGUGUAGCGGUGAAAUGCGUAGAGAUAUGGAGGAACACCAGUGGCGAAGGCGACUUUCUGGUCUGUAACUGACACUGAGGCGCGAAAGCGUGGGGAGCAAACAGGAUUAGAUACCCUGGUAGUCCACGCCGUAAGCGAUGAGUGCUA
rnacentral:rRNA from 1 species